GACGUAGGGCGCAAGCGUUGUCCGGAUUUAUUGGGCGUAAAGAGCUCGUAGGCGGCUCGUCGCGUCAGCUGUGAAAACCCGCGGCUUAACCGUGGGCUUGCAGCUGAUACGGGCGGGCUAGAGUUCGGUAGGGGAGACUGGAAUUCCUGGUGUAGCGGUGAAAUGCGCAGAUAUCAGGAGGAACACCGGUGGCGAAGGCGGGUCUCUGGGCCGAUACUGACGCUGAGGAGCGAAAGCGUGGGGAGCGAACAGG
rnacentral:rRNA from 1 species